rnacentral:lncRNA from 1 species
CCACCCGGCCACAUUCUCAUGAAAGCUUCUUUCCUAACACAGGAUUGCACAAGUGAUUCAUUGUGCCUGAUUAGCUGGUAGUUUGCUCACUGUUCACCUGCAACUGCUGCUCCAUCUUCCCUGUUGCUUGUCCAAAGACACCAGCUACUUUCUCCCAGCCAGUUGCUGUAUCUCUCCCUGGAUGCAUUUGUAGACCCAGGUGAACCUGUAUCCGCUUCACUUUCUGCUCUGACAGGAAGUACAGAGUUUCCCUAUGGAGAGAACCAUGUGAACAAGAAACUGAUGUCUUUGGACAACAGCCAGCGAGGAUCUGAGACCUGCCAAGAAUUACAUAAAUGUGUUUGUGGAAGUGGAUAUUCAUCUAGCCCAGCCUCGUAUGAUUGGUGCUCCAGCCAACAACUUCAUGACACCCUUGCAAAGCAUCUUGAUCCUGAGAAAUCCACUUAAACUUUGCCCCGAUUCCUGACCCACAGCUUUGGGAUAAUGAACGUCUGAUGUUUUCAGCCACUAAGUUUUGGUAAUUUUUUGUGCCCUGGAAGCUAACAAGUAUAUUUGUU